rnacentral:rRNA from 1 species
ACAUGCAGUCGAACGNGGNGUGUNGCGAUACCGCUAGUGGCGCACGGGUGCGUAACGCGUAACCAACCUGCCCUUGACUGGGGGAUAGCCCGCCGAAAGGCGGAUUAAUACCGCAUAACCUCGCAGUGUGGCAUCACACAACGAGUAAAGAUUUAUUGGUCAAGGAUGGGGUUGCGUGACAUUAGCUAGUUGGCGGGGUAAUGGCCCACCAAGGCGACGAUGUCUAGGGGACCUGAGAGGGUGAUCCCCCACACUGGCACUGAGAUACGGGCCAGACUCCUACGGGAGGCAGCAGUAGGGAAUAUUGGGCAAUGGGCGAGAGCCUGACCCAGCCAUGCCGCGUGCCGGAUGAAGGCCUUCUGGGUUGUAAACGGCUUUUCUCAGGGAAGAAAACGACCAUGCGUGGUACACUGACGGUACCUGAGGAAUAAGCACCGGCUAACUCCGUGCCAGCAGCCGCGGUAAUACGGAGGGUGCAAGCGUUGUCCGGAUUUAUUGGGUUUAAAGGGUGCGUAGGCGGCCCGUUAAGUCCGGGGUGAAAGCCCACUGCUCAACAGUGGAACUGCCCUGGAUACUGGCGGGCUUGAGUCCAGACGAGGUUGGCGGAAUGGAUGCUGUAGCGGUGAAAUGCAUAGAUAGCAUCCAGAACCCCGAUUGCGAAGGCAGCUGACUAGGCUGGUACUGACGCUGA